AUUGAACGCUGGCGGCAGGUCUAACACAUGCAAGUCGAACGAGUGGCGGACGGGUGAGUAAUGUCUGGGAAACUGCCUGAUGGAGGGGGAUAACUACUGGAAACGGUAGCUCAUACCGCCUACCAUCGGAUGUGCCCAGAUGGGAUUAGCUCGUAGGUGGGGUACAGGCUCACCUAGGCGACUAUCCCUAGCUGGUCUGAGAGGAUGACCAGCCACAUGGGAACGGAGAAAGGGUCCAGACUCCUACGGGAGGCAGCAGGGGGGAACAUUGCACAAUGGGCGCAAGCCGGAUACAGACAUGCCGCGUGGAUGAAGAAGGCCUUCGGGUUGUAAAGUACUUUCAGCGGGGAGGCGUUACCCGCAGAAGAAGCACCGGCUAACUCCGUGCCAGCAGCCGCGGUAAUUC
rnacentral:rRNA from 1 species